UCAGUUGAUGAAAUACUGUGCGGGUCAGAAACACACUUCUUACAUUUACAGCUAAAAACGAAUAAUAUAUUUGCACUUUAUAUUAGGCCUUAGCAAAGUCCUCCCACCAACACAUUGAGGUGUGCUACAAGAUAACUGGUAACUCUGUAAACAGGAGUAGGUGCAUCACCGGUCACUGAGCUGGCAAGCUAAAGUUAGCUAGUUAGUCACAUAAAUGUACGUUCAGCCUGAUGAUUAUUCAUCUUACGAAGUCAGCAUGGCUUAACAUAGUUUAUUUCGUGUUUGACUUCGACAUUGUUGGUGGAUAGAUACUUUCAUACCUAAUAUGCUGGCGCUGCUAGCUAGCUAAUGCUAACGGCGCUACCUAACCUCAUAUCUGGAUGCCUCACUCUAGUUCCCGAGAGAGCAGCAUACUGGCCCUCUAUUCCCAAACCUGAAGCCCCCUGUCCCCAGCAGGAAGGACCAGGAAAAAGAGCUAGCUUAAGACCUGCUCGGUGGGUGACAGGUAACCGUCUUUCCACCAAGAUGGGCCAGGCCUGGAGUGGGUGACAGGUAACCCUCUUUCCACCAAGAUGGGCCAGGCCUGGAGUGGGUGACAGGUAACCCUCUUUCCACCAAGCUGGGCCAGGCCUGGAGUGGGUGACAGGUAACCCUCUUUCCACCAAGAUGGGCCAGGCAUGGAGUGGGUGACAGGUAACCGUCUUUCCACCAAGAUGGGCCAGGCCUGGAGUGGGUGACAGGUAACCCUCUUUCCACCAAGCUGGGCCAGGCCUGGAGUGGGUGACAGGUAACCCUCUUUCAACCAAGCUAGGCCAGGCCUGGAGUGGCACGCUGGAACUUCCAGGGGCUUGUAGACCUGAAGCAGUGUGAUGUGGUCAAAUACACGUAUAUACAUUCACUCACUCUGUUUUGUUGUAUAAUUUUAACUUAAAAAAUGGUUCCUCUCUCUUUGAGAUCUGACACCCCUAUUAGCUCAACCACAGUCUUCACAGCUGCAGUCGUCUGCCCCUGCAUCUGCUACACCGGCCACGACAGGUGAUACAGAUCUGCCAUGUACUCCACCACUGCCUGACAGCCUCACCCAGAAGUGCAUAUACACGGGGCCUAGCAAGACUGACAAAGCAGAGAUGGGUGGCUGACAAGGAAAAAUAAAACAACAUGCACUCAAACACAUUAUCCACAAUGUAAAUAAGUUGUAAUUACUUGUUCAUUUAAUGUUUGGUCCAUUUUAUUUUAGGAUUGGAGAGAUCUACUCCUUCAUAUCCAUUGUCAAUAUCUACAUAAUUACUCUAAAUAUCGAUCAAAUCAAAGUGUGAUUGAUAAUAUUGUAAAAGGCUAUGGCUUAAUGUUUACAGUUUGGUGAUAUUCUGUGUGCUUUUUUUCUGAGUUGAAAAACAUGUCUCCCUCUCACACACACAUUAGGCCCAAUGUAAAUAAAUUGUAAUAACUUGUUUAUUUUAUGUAUGCUACAUUUUAUUUGAGGAAAAUAUCUGCAAUAAACUACAUUCAGUUAAAUCAAAUCAAAUGUAU